rnacentral:lncRNA from 1 species
UGGAGAUCGGCCUGGGCGUUGUCAGGGCAGAGCAGCAGACAGUGCUAGAGCCAGACCAGUACAGCCUGGGGUCCUAUGCAGCCAUGGCCCUGGCCCAGGACGUG